GCCCUGGCAGUCAGAGGCGAUGAAGGGCGUGCUAAUCUGCGAUAAGCGCCGGUAAGGUGAUAUGAACCGUUAUAACCGGCGAUACCCGAAUGGGGAAACCCAGUGUGAUUCGUCACACUAUCAUUAACUGAAUCCAUAGGUUAAUGAGGCGAACCGGGGGAACUGAAACAUCUAAGUACCCCGAGGAAAAGAAAUCAACCGAGAUUCCCCCAGUAGCGGCGAGCGAACGGGGAGGAGCCCAGAGCCUGAAUCAGCAUGUGUGUUAGUGGAAGCGUCUGGAAAGGCGCGCGAUACAGGGUGACAGCCCCGUACACAAAAGCGCAUGUGCUGUGAGC
rnacentral:rRNA from 1 species